rnacentral:lncRNA from 10 species
AGAAGCUUCAGGGAGGUGGCUCAGGCCUAGGCUGCAAGCAGGGAACAGGUACCAGCAAAAUAUGCUAGGAAGCUUCUCGCUGGGAGGCUAAUAUAAAUGGGUGGGCCAUUUGCUAGGAUACAAGAGAAACUUGCCAUUGGGCUGCUAGGGAAACUCGCCCAGGGACGUGCGCCCCUGGGUCUCCCACACGCCAGUGACAAGGAGACCUGGGGCUCUCUGGCAAGAACCACAAGAAGCCCCUUCUUCCUGCUGUGUCCCUCCAGGGCCCUCUACUGACAGACCCAACACCGUUCCAGCUGGUAAAGGAGGACCCUCCGGAGGCCCAGCCCCAGGAUCAAGAAAACAGAGCAAAACAUGGGUCGACCUGGAGUUGAUCCUUAAUUGAUGAUGGGCACAACAUGGAGCCUGAAAUCAUUUAUUUCAUUUUCAAGUUUCAGGCUUUCUGACAGAGGCAAAGCACCUAGCCAUAAAUUGCAGAAAUGCUUCAUUGACCACGGAUUACCAUGGUGGGGCUGGAGCCAAUGUCCUUCUCCAGGAUGUGAAUGGAAAUAUCCCAUUAGAUUAUGCUGUAGAAGGGACAGAAUCCAGCUCUAUCCUGUUGACCUAUCUGGAUGAAA